GCCGCCUUAGCUCAUUUGGUAGAGCAGUUGUUUUGUAAUCAGCAGGUAGUCAGUUCGAUUCUGACAGGCGGCUCCA
rnacentral:tRNA from 1 species